AUUGAACGCUGGCGGCAGGCCUAACACAUGCAAGUCGAACGAGUGGCGGACGGGUGAGUAAUGUCUGGGAAACUGCCCGAUGGAGGGGGAUAACUACUGGAAACGGUAGCUAAUACCCCAUACCAUCGGAUUGGCCCAGAUGGGAUUAGCUGGUGGGGGGGGUAACGGCUCACCUAGGCGACGAUCCCUAGCUGGUCUGAGUGGAUGACCAGCCACACUGGAACUGAGACACGGUCCAGAGUCCUACGGGAGGCAGCGGUGGGGAAUAUUGCACAAUGGGCGCAAGCCUGAUGCAGCCAUGCCGGGUGUAUGAAGAAGGCCUUCGGGUUGUAAAGUACUUUCAGCGAGGAGGCGUUACUCGCAGAAGAAGCACCGGCUAACUCCGUGCCAGCAGCCGCGGUAAUAC
rnacentral:rRNA from 1 species